rnacentral:rRNA from 1 species
ACGCCUCGCUUUGUGAAGAGCGGAGCUUACAACGCGACCCCAGGUCAGGCGGGGCUACCCGCUGAGUUUAAGCAUAUCAAUAA